rnacentral:lncRNA from 1 species
GAGAGCGCUGUUCAUUCUUAUUAUUAUUAUUUACUCGUGGUGAUUUCACAGCUGUUUUACUCUUAAAAACUACAUUUCUAGCAUUAGUUACAUCUUACAGCACAGCUCUGCAUGACAUAAAGGUCAUUAUCAUAUUCACAUUUUGAAGGAAACACUAUAGCUGCGUCCGAAUUCGCAUACUUCCAUACUAUAUAGUAGGCGAAAAACAGUAUGCGAAGCAAGUAGUAUGUCCGAAUUCUCAGUAUUCGAAAAACAGUAGGCGAGAUGUAACCGGAUGGCCUACUACUUCCGGCCGAAUUCCGUAGUAUGCAUAGGAUGGACACUACUCUAUCCCAUGAGGCACCGGGAGAGGGCUCGUCAUACUCAUAUUCGAAAAUAAUGGAAAAUCGUGACGCCGCUGUUUUGAAGUAG